CAGCACGGGAGCAAUCCUGGUGGCGAGUGGCGAACGGGUGAGUAAUAUAUCGGAACGUGCCCAGUCGUGGGGGAUAACGCAGCGAAAGCUGUGCUAAUACCGCAUACGAUCUACGGAUGAAAGCGGGGGACUCGCAAGAGCCUCGCGCGAUUGGAGCGGCCGAUAUCAGAUUAGCUAGUUGGUGGGGUAAAAGCCCACCAAGGCGACGAUCUGUAGCUGGUCUGAGAGGACGACCAGCCACACUGGAACUGAGACACGGUCCAGACUCCUACGGGAGGCAGCAGUGGGGAAUUUUGGACAAUGGGCGCAAGCCUGAUCCAGCAAUGCCGCGUGCAGGAUGAAGGCCUUCGGGUUGUAAACUGCUUUUGUACGGAACGAAACGGCUCCUUCUAAUACAAGGGGCUAAUGACGGUACCGUAAGAAUAAGCACCGGCUAACUACGUGCCAGCAGCCGCGGUAAUACGUAGGGUGCGAGCGUUAAUCGGAAUUACUGGGCGUAAAGCGUGCGCAGGCGGUUAUAUAAGACAGAUGUGAAAUCCCCGGGCUCAACCUGGGACCUGCAUAUGUGACUGUAUAGCUAGAGUACGGUAGAGGGGGAUGGAAUUCCGCGUGUAGCAGUGAAAUGCGUAGAUAUGCGGAGGAACACCGAUGGCGAAGGCAAUCCCCUGGACCUGUACUGACGCUCAUGCACGAAAGCGUGGGGAGCAAACAGGAUUAGAUACCCUGGUAGUCCACGCCCUAAACGAUGUCAACUGGUUGUUGGGUCUUCACUGACUCAGUAACGAAGCUAACGCGUGAAGUUGACCGCCUGGG
rnacentral:rRNA from 1 species